rnacentral:rRNA from 1 species
AGAGUUUGAUCCUGGCUCAGGACGAACGCUGGCGGCGUGCUUAACACAUGCAAGUCGAACGAGGAUCGGAAGGGAGCUUGCUCCCGUCUGAUUCGAGUGGCGGACGGGUGAGUAACGCGUGAACAAUCUGUCUCAUACAGGGGGAUAACGCAUCGAAAGAUGUGCUAAUACCGCGUAGGACCACGCUGGGGCAUCCCAGAGAGGUGAAAGGAGCAAUCCGGUAUGAGGUGAGUUCGCGUCUGAUUAGAUAGUUGGUGAGGUAAAGGCUCACCAAGUCAACGAUCAGUAGCCGACCUGAGAGGGUGACCGGCCACAUUGGGACUGAGACACGGCCCAGACUCCUACGGGAGGCAGCAGUGGGGAAUAUUGGGCAAUGGGCGAAAGCCUGACCCAGCAACGCCGCGUGAAGGAAGAAGGUUUUCGGAUCGUAAACUUCUGUCCUAUAUGAAGAUAAUGACGGUAGUAUAGGAGGAAGCCCCGGCUAACUACGUGCCAGCAGCCGCGGUAAUACGUAGGGGGCGAGCGUUGUCCGGAAUGAUUGGGCGUAAAGGGCGCGUAGGAGGCAUUACAAGUUGGAUGUGAAAUAUCCCGGCUUAACCGGGAGAGGUCGUUCAAAACUGUAAAGCUAGAGUACGGGAGAGGUAAUCGGAACUCCGGGAGUAGCGGUGAAAUGCGUAGAUAUCCGGAAGAACACCAGAGGCGAAAGCGGAUUACUGGUCCGAGACUGACACUAAGACGCGAAAGCCAGGGUAGCAAACGGGAUUAGAGACCCCGGUAGUCCUGGCCGUAAACGAUGUAGACUCGUCGUUUGGAGUGUAAAAGCUCUGAGUGACUAAGCAAACGCGAUAAGUCUACCGCCUGGGGAGUACGGUCGCAAGAUUAAAACUCAAAGGAAUUGACGGGGGCCCGCACAAGCAGCGGAGCGUGUGGUUUAAUUCGAUGAUACACGAAGAACCUUACCAGGGUUUGACAUACAAGUGGUAGUGAAAGGAAACUGGAACGACCCCUCGGGGAGCUUGAACAGGUGCUGCAUGGCUGUCGUCAGCUCGUGUCGUGAGAUGUUCGGUUAAGUCCGCUAACGAGCGCAACCCUUGUCGUGUGUUACAGGUAUCACGCGAGACCGCCGGUAGAAAGCCGGAGGAAGGUGGGGAUGACGUCAAGUCAGCAUGGCCUUUAUAUCCUGGGCUACACACACGCUACAAUGGUCGGUACAAUGGGAAGCGAAGGGGCGACCCGGAGCGAAUCCUGCAAAGCCGGCCCCAGUUCAGAUUGCAGGCUGCAACCCGCCUGCAUGAAGAUGGAGUUGCUAGUAACCGCAGGUCAGCGAUACUGCGGUGAAUACGUUCCCGGGCCUUGUACACACCGCCCGUCAC